CUGAAGCAUGCAACUGCUUUUCCACUUCUCACUGUUGUUACAAGGCGUUAGUGGGGAUCAGAGAGGAGCAGAUGUGUUCUCUUAACUCCCAAGAGAAAUUCUGCCCGCUCCCUUUUCAGCUGUGUGGAUUGUUGCAUGGAGGCCCUCAUGUGGUUGCCAACUCAGACGCCUCCCCUUUCAGCUUCAGAAAAAGGCACACAGUAUCUUUCCUUGGCAAAGUCCUAGCAGCGCAGCUGAUAACACAAAGAUCCUGGAGCUGAGUGUCUGCUAUUUGAGAUGCGUGCAUGCACCACAGGACACAGAAGUACUUUCCUUCUCCUUAUUUUAUGCCUCAGCUCCAUGAGCUGUUGAGAGAAGACAGACUUUGCUUGGUGAGACUCUUCACUUCUUACCUUAUCCCUGUUUUCUUGCUAUAUCUGAAUUUUAAAAUAUAAUUGAACUGGGGCCAUGACAAAAAAAAACCCCAGGAAUAUAAGAGCAGAAAAUGAGAUGUGGCCUAUUUCAAUUGCUUCUCCUUACUUGGACAAAUCUUACCAGAGAGAUUCUUCUCUGACAUAAAGCAUCUGGGCCCAACUUUUUCCUGUUCACCAUGAAAUAGUGGUGGCAAGCUCUUGGAUGUUGGGCCACAGCUUAACUUAGAAAAUACUGAAAGGGACUUUAGCUUUCUACACUGUAGAGAAAAGUGCUACCAUGGUCAUAUUCUGUAAUCAAACACUCUGCUUUGGUGCAGCAAUGGUGGAUUCCAGUCCUGCUUUGACAACUAUCAUGAAAACCCAUCAUAACCUCUAAAGACUUUGCAAUCAGAUGGUUGUUUCUGAUUGCAUUGCUAAUUUGGAUGUGGGAUUUGGAAAUGUCAAGCAUGUUUUACCAUUCAGUCUGACAAGUGGAAAUCUUCUACUCAUUACCUUCUUUUUCUUCUCAAAAGCAGUUUGUACAAUUUUAAGAAUUUUUCAUUAAAGAAUCAGAAUGAUAGAAGUAUGCAAAGUAAUUAAUUGACAUCAUAUUAAGAAAGGUAAACUAAUAAGAGUGUACUGCAAGGUUCUGAAGAAAUAAAAAAAUACGUAUUCUUCCUAUCCAGUCAGUUGUCCAAAGUUUCCAGAGACACAGGGGCAGAGCUAUUGCAACUGUUGAAAAGAGUAUGGGUAUUAGUAAACAGAGGCUAGGAAGGAUCUGGGGUUUGUUUCUUCUCCCUGCAGCUGUUACAGAAAAAGGAAACUGAAUGGGUGGAAAACCUAUUGUCAUCAACACAGCGCUUCCUCUGCUUCUGCUUACGGAGAACGGCCAUACCCAGGUCUUGGUCCUCACUUGCUGGGAAUGUAUGUUGUACAUACAGAUAAAAGGAUUUAUCAUGAAGGAACAGGAUCCAGUGUGAGCAGCUGGAGUAGAUAGCUUAGUUCUGAGAACAUGUAGGCUUCAUCAACAAUGUGAACUUGGGCAUCUUUGGAGACACUAAUUUGGCUGAACUGAGGACUAGGCUUUAGGAUGCAGAGGAACCUGCUACUUUUGAAGAAGGAAACUCGUUGCUUGCCACAGACUGUUCUCCUGCAUUCAAGUCCUGUGCCCAUUAAGCUGAAGAAUCCCUGAGCCACCCAAAAACUAAAGAAAAGAAAAACCCCAAAUGGCUGAGAAAGAAGAGGACACAGAGUGUGUCCAUGGGGCUUGAAGGCUUAUAAGUGCAUAUGAACACAUUUGACCAAAAAGCAGAAGGCAUGGCUGUUGAUGGUUAGAGAAACCCUUCUGAGGCAUACAAAACCAGCAGUUUAAUGACUUGAUCAACAAUCUAGAGAGAUUGAAUGCAUGAAAAAAGAUCCAGACAGUAAAGGUGGUUGAAGAUACCUUCAACAGCUGCUGAAACAUGAAGACUGCCCAAUAUUUGUCUCCCUUGGAAUGACUCUUGCAGGAUCUAGUCUACAUGAAACCACCUCCCUACGUUUGAAUACAGCUGGCAAACUGCUAAAUACAAAAUUGCGGUUAGGAGAGGAUCAGACCGAUUUGACUCAUCAUCAUGUUAAAUAAUGGUGAUGAAACUUUGUUUUGUGUCAACUCAAAUGUUCACAAAGAGUUAAAAUAAAGGUUAAAAUUCUCUGAUAUAUAGCAGAGUAUAAUUCUCAGAAAUGUGAAUUAACCGAAGAUUGAUUAUUUUAAUCGGAAACCAAAGGUGACAAUCCAUGGCAUGCUGAAAACUGAGAAUAUGAGACAGUACAAUAUAAAAUAAAUUGAAAGCAAGCAAAUAUA